CCUACGGGUGGCAGCAGUGGGGAAUAUUGGACAAUGGGCGAAAGCCUGAUCCAGCCAUGCCGCGUGUGUGAAGAAGGCCUUCGGGUUGUAAAGCACUUUCAGUGGGGAAGAAAGCCUUGGGGCUAAUACCCUCGAGGAAGGACAUCACCCACAGAAGAAGCACCGGCUAACUCCGUGCCAGCAGCCGCGGUAAUACGGAGGGUGCGAGCGUUAAUCGGAAUUACUGGGCGUAAAGCGCGCGUAGGCGGUCUGAUAAGCCGGUUGUGAAAGCCCCGGGCUCAACCUGGGAACGGCAUCCGGAACUGUCAGGCUAGAGUGCAGGAGAGGAAGGUAGAAUUCCAGGUGUAGCAGUGAAAUGCGUAGAGAUCGGGAGGAAUACCAGUGGCGAAGGCGGCCUUCUGGACUGACACUGACGCUGAGGUGCGAAAGCGUGGGUAGCAAACAGGAUUAGAUACCCUGGUAGUC
rnacentral:rRNA from 1 species